rnacentral:lncRNA from 1 species
GAACUUCGAACCAAGGUUUGAUUUUUAUUUGAACCCUUGAUGUAGUAUGUGAAUUAUGUUGAAUUAUUGAUUUUGCAUGUUCUGUAAUAGCAAAAGGAAAAUGGGAUAUGCUUUUUCAGGUAAAAGGAACAAGUUUUCUGUACAGAUGCCAUAGAGGCAAUUUGUUGACAAUACUGCAAAAGGUCCAUUCAAAUAUGGGAAAUAUCCAGACAGCUUUAUGCAUUCUCACUCGAUGCCUUUGACUAACCGGUUUGCAUGUGGUCGUCGGCGAAAACAAGGGCGGAGUAGUGGCAUCGGUGGAGGGUCUUCGGGGCUUUGUCUGUGGUCCCUGAACUGCAUAUGAACACUGUGUUUCAGAUAUUUCUACAGUUGUUCAGCCCGGUGGACACUCUGAAGGUGACUCGAGACUCGCUCAUUGUAUAGGUCAAAUGAUAUAUAUGUCAUGGUAUUGAGCCACAACCACGAAAGAAGCAGAGUAAGUCUAUCUACAAAGAAACUAGAGCCAAUCCCAGGAGAUAUGAUCUGGAAUCGAACUCCAGAGAUGGCUCAGACAUUCAGGCAAAGAAUCGCUCGAGCAGAAGCCAUGGCUCGUGCAGGCGUGCUUAGAUUCCGGCC